UUCACCGGAGGUCCCACCUUGCAGCCUGGGCGGUUAAAAUGAAUAGUCGUAACAUAUUAACAUAAAAAACCUGGAGAAAGCACUACUUUGAAGAAAAUUAAUUCCCAAUACUGGGUCCUUGUGUCGCUAUGAAAUCCUGAUCAAUUGCACGAGAGAAUGCUAUAGCUGAUGGGAAAUGAACCUCGGACCGCAUCCUGUGUUUGAGCUUGCUUUCCACCUCACACCUUAACCCUGGGACCUGCUUCCUGAAGGCAUCAGCGUCAGCGUACAGGAUUCCGUAUGUGUAAUUAAAAAGUGAUUGCAAGGUUAGUUAAGCUUAAUUUGAACUUUAUCUUAACAUCAGUGGACAAUCUUCAAAGAGUGACUGUGACGUAGUAUAUCCAGAAUUAAAAGGCUUUCUCCAGCAUA
rnacentral:lncRNA from 1 species